GUGAGUGUGUGGCAGCCAGGGGAUGGAGGCACAACGUGAAGAGGGGAGGGGAAGGAGAAGGGGGCCCAGGGGGCACAUACAGCUGGAGGAGGGGUGGGAGCUGAAGGUCAGCAGCCAAAAAGGGAAGCGGGGCAGGAAGAAAAAUCGGGUGAAACAGGAAAGGCAUGCUAUGAGCAGGGCAAGGGACAGCAGGGAGCGGGUGUGACAUCCCUGCGCAGAGGGAGCAGCAAAUGUGACAUCCCCACCAUCAGAGCUCUGUUGUGCUGCCUGCGGGAGGGCACACACCGAGCUGGCAUCUCGGUGUCUGGAGAGGGAGUAGGGAGAGGGCUGCUCCCCAAGAGCCGGGCUCUGUGGCCAUGCCCAGUGAGCAGUGAGGAGCUGGAGAGUGUGGAGACCUGGGUGCAGGCGGGCACGGCUUCCAUGGGCGCUGCCUUUGUGCCGCUGCCCUUCUCCCUUGGGCUUCUGCUGCAGGAAAAGGAAGUGCUCUGAUCAUCAUCUUUCAGCACGCUGCUCUCUCCAGGAUUAGGUUCACCUAUAGCUCUUGGGAAGGACGCUGUGUUGUAGCAACACACGUAUGUAAAAUACACUUUUUUUGGGAUCCACAUGUACGCGCUUUGCUCUGGCUCUGCCGCCUCCUGUUUGAGUCCACAGCCAAAGAAAAUAAGCGAAGCCAGCACCCCUGCUAGGGGCAUAUGUCUGAACAGGCACAAGCUUAAUAAUGUCCCUAUUUAAAUAUGUAUGGAGCCGAUUGUUAAUGUAAAGCAUGCACAUGCUAGAACAUUUUCAGGCGGUGCUUGGAGAGGUGAGGGCACCUUCCGUGAGGUCAGCGCAGAGGAAAUCUUGGUGUCUUCCCUUCUCCCGCUGCUCCAAGCCAACAACUGCUGCUGAUUUAUCCCCAUCUUGUGUCAUCUCCACAGCGUCCCAGCAUCCCACGGGCUCCGUGUUCCCCUCCCAGACCACUGUCCAGAGGGCAGAAACCAGAGGUGGGGACGUGGUGUCCCCAGGCUGCCUCAUCCCCAGCCCCUGCCCCAGCAGCUGCCGCUUUCCCCGGGGGAGGGGGAGGGGGGGGAAGGAGGGUCUGGGGGAACCCAAACCCCACGGAGCCACCGUGCUGUCUCUGGCUCCAGCCCUGCCUCACCACGGCAGAAGGUGCCCUUCCUACAGAGCUUCCCGACGUGGGCUGGCUCGGCUCCUCCAGCAGGUUCCUUCCUUAGCUGCGAGCUGCUGCACUCCAAGGCAGGAAACAAAGGAGGGGAAGCAUCACCCACCCAUUCUGAAAGCCCACUCUUUCUGAAAGCCUCGCCAUUCAUUUUUCUUUUUUCUUUUUUUGUGGGAUCAUUGCACUGAGUGCCCUCCCUUGCUCAGCUGGAGGUAGAUCAGCUCAGCUCCUUCCAAAGAGUGCCCAACUUCGCGGGGACGGUGUGUGCAUUGGAGCAGGGUCUGCUGGCCUGGCCAUAUGGCAGCGGGACCCACAUCGUGAGCUUGUGCGUGUGUUAAAUCUGGGAGGUUUUAUCUGUUAGCACACAUCUCUACUCAAUCUCUAUUCAGGAACCUCCACAGCCAAACUGGAACAUUACAUAUGUGAAUUGUGCAGUUAAAACGGUGACUCUGAAGCCACCUUCCGCCCACUGAAACAGCGGAGAUCUGCCUCCCAGGUGCUCCAUUGUUGCUCUUUGUCAGAUAUUGAGCCAUGAUGAAGAGAAGGGCGACUAUCUCCCAUCCCCAGGGAGUAUUGCUGGUGCCUGCAGGUGGGCUAUGGGAGCCACAGGGGUGGCUGCGGUGUGUGUACUGCGCUCCUCUGACGGCUGCUGAGCUUUGUCAGAAGGGAGAAGUCCUCCACGGGACCCCACCUUCAUUUCAGGAUAAAACCUCGUUGUGAGAAGGGAACAUUGCCCGGAGAUGGAGCAGGGCAAAGAAAGGCAUCCCUCUGCCCCUUGGUUCUCUGCUGGUGUUGGUUCCAGUGUGGGCAGGAGUACGGAGCUCUGCUGUGUCUGAAACUACUUCCUGUGUUGUUGUAGGGGUCAUACAGAAAGGAUCAUGGAAAAGAAUGGCUCUCCUGAAAACAGUAAGUGCCGUAUCUCAGCAUUUCCUUGCAACAAACGUCUCGUAUCUCAUAAUGCAAAACAAAACCAAAUUGAAUUUUUGUUCUGCUCUGCUGUCAUUAUUUCUUCACUCUUAGGGUAUUUCUUACUUUUGGAGGUGCCUGGGUAAGAUCUACAAACGUUUGGAUCUGUUAAGGGUGUAAAAAAGAUCUGAACAACAACAAAGGAGGUGCUAUCGAUUAAGUUGGUUUUGAGAUUAGAAAACUAAAACAAAUCCACAUAAAAACCAGAAAUCGUGUAGGCAAACUAAUAUCACUAAAUUAACAGGUUAGCAAGAACAAAUUAACGCAAGAGACAAACCCCACAAGUGCAACACGUGAAGAAAAUCCCAAAGAAAAGAUCUGCUUUAUUCGUUUAAAAACACAACCGUUGUACCCUCCGCCCCACGAGCAAACCCAGGUUUGCAGUAUGGGCCAUGGGCGUCCCGUUGGGGGGCUGGGCAGCAGCACGGCCCCCAGCCCCGGAUCCCGAGGAGCUCAGCACCUCCCUGCUGGACCCACAGCUGCAGCAUGGCCUGCCCUGGCUUGCUGCUGUGCCGCGGGGCAGCCAACGGGCACUGACAGGAUCCCUGGUGGCAGGGAGCCCACUGCAA
ensembl:lncRNA